rnacentral:snoRNA from 1 species
CUGCAGGCAAUUAAGCUGACCGUGCUUCUCUCCUCAGGGGGGCCUGGUGUGCAAUGGCAGCCUCUUUGGUAGUGUAUGCAGCCUGUGGCUUGUAUGGGUUGCUAGGACUUUGGAGACAGUC